rnacentral:tRNA from 1 species
GACCGGGUAGCUCAGCUGGUAGAGCAUAACACUUUUAAUGUUAGGGUCCUGGGUUCGAACCCCAGCCCGGUCA